GGAGAGAUGGCUCAGUGGUUAAGAGCACUGACUGUUCUUCCAGAGGACCUGGGUUCAAUUCCUAGCACCA
rnacentral:tRNA from 1 species